rnacentral:rRNA from 1 species
GUGGGGAAUAUUGCGCAAUGGGGGAAACCCUGACGCAGCAACGCCGCGUGAGUGAUGAAGGCUUUCGAGUCGUAAAACUCUGUCUUUGGGGUCGAAUAAUGACGGUACCCAAGGAGGAAGCCCCGGCUAACUACGUGCCAGCAGCCGCGGUAAUACGUAGGGGGCAAGCGUUGUCCGGAAUCACUGGGCGUAAAGGGCGCGUAGGCGGUUUGUUAAGUCAGGUGUGAAAGUUUUCAGCUUAACUGGAAAAGUGCACUUGAAACUAACUUACUUGAGUACUGGAGAGGUAAGCGGAAUUCCUAGUGUAGCGGUGAAAUGCGUAGAUAUUAGGAAGAACACCGGUGGCGAAGGCGGCUUACUGGACAGAGACUGACGCUGAGGCGCGAAAGCGUGGGGAGCGAACAGGAUUAGAAACCCCUGUAGUCC